rnacentral:rRNA from 1 species
GAUGAACGCUGGCGGCGUGCCUCAAACAUGCAAGUCGAGCGGGGCUAUGUUGGACCGUAAGGGAAGAUAUAGCCUAGCGGCGAACGGGUGAGUAACACGUGGGUAACCUACCUGGAAGACAGGGAUAACGAUUCGAAAGGGUCGCUAAUACCUGAUAAUAUCUAACAGUCGGAUGGCAGUUAGAAGAAAGGGGAAACCCGCUUUCAGAUGGGCCCGCGUCCCAUCAGCUAGUUGGUAAGGUAAAGGCUUACCAAGGCGACGACGGGUAGCCGGUCUGAGAGGAUGUACGGCCACACUGGGACUGAGAUACGGCCCAGACUCCUACGGGAGGCAGCAGUUGGGAAUCUUAGGCAAUGGGCGAAAGCCUGACCUAGCGACGCCGCGUGAGGGAAGAAGGGCCUUCGGGUCGUAAACCUCUGUCAUGGGGGACGAAGGGAAGUGACGGUACCCCAAGAGGAAGCCCCUGCUAACUACGUG